rnacentral:misc_RNA from 1 species
GAUGAAGAACGUAGCGACAUGCGAUACUUGGUGUGAAUUGCAGAAUCCCGUGAACCAUCGAGUCUUUGAACGCAAGUUGCGCCCGAAGCCAUCAGGUUGAGGGCACGUCUGCCUGGGCGUCACAUAUCGUUGCCCAAUGCCUAUUGCAGUGCAAUAGGAAUUUCUAGGGCGAAUGAUGGCUUCCCGUGAGCGUUGUUGCCUCGCGGUUGGUUGAAAAUCGAGUCCUUGGUAGGGUGUGCCAUGGUAGAUGGUGGUCGAGUUAGAACGAUACCGAUCAUGUGCAUGCUCCCCAAAAUAUGGCCUCUAUGACCCACACGCGUCUUUUGACGCUCAUGACGAGACCUCAGGUCAGGCGGGGCUACCCGCUGAAUUUAAGCAUAUCAAUAAGCGGAGGA